CGCUACCCUCCACUCCCGGAUCAGUUCGCUUGGUUUUCCGCCGGCUCUCCGGACUCAGCUACCCCAACUUCAGGGGUUAACCACACUAAGCGCGAGCUACUGCGCGUGGAGAGGGCGAGUCCACUUCCUGCUUGUAAAUAAAAACAUUGAAAACGCCACUGACCUGUGUCGGCUG